GGGAUCUAACAACAAAAACAAAUUCAAAUUCAAAAUAAUAACAGUCACAACUAUUCUCUAAAACCCAAAAACUACAACUAUUUUGUAACAACAGUCGACAGCGCUGGAAGAUUACAAGGUCGCCACGACCACCAGUUCUUAAAACAACCACAUCGCUUCAGUUUUUUCUUCGUCCUCUACCGAUUUGCCAUUAUCAUUUUCUCUCUCUUCCUCCUCCUCUAGUAUCUUCUCUGCUCCGACCUCAUUUCUCUACUACAACCAUGUCCACGUUUAUACCAAGGUAACCAAUAAAAAAUAGAACACUGCAUAGGGAAGAGAGAGAUAGGAGACUGAUGUGAAAUGUAAUAUUGAUAACCAAACCUUCGUACCAAGGUAACCAAACAUUUAUACCAAGGUAACCAAAUCUACCUUCACACAUACAGUAUGAAUUUGUUACCUUGGUCUAAAAGUUUGGCAACCAAUUUCAUGAAGGUAAAUAAAAAAUAGAACACUGCAUAGGAAAGAGAGAGAUAAGAGAGUGAUGUGUAAUGUAAUAUUGAUAACCAAACCUUCGUACCAAGGUAACCAAACAUUUAUACCAAGGUAACCAAACCUUUAUACCAAGGUAACCUUUUUUUUAUGAAUAUUUGGUUACCCACAAAAACUAAAAUGGUUACCUUUGUAUGAAGGUUUGGCUACCAACUGCACCAUAUUCAAAAUAAUUUUAUCUUUAAAAGGUUAUUAUGAAUAUGUUGUCGUUGGUAGCCAAACCUUCGUACAAAGGUAACAAUUUUAAUUUUUGUGGAUAACCAAAUAUUCAUAAAAAAUAAAUUGCAAAGCCAUAAAUUGCAAUAGAAAACAUAAUAUGACAAGCCCUUACCUGGGCACAACUCUAAUCAAUGUUCUAAAAGAGGCAGCGUGAAUUUGA
rnacentral:lncRNA from 1 species